GUGGGGAAUCUUGCGCAAUGGGCGAAAGCCUGACGCAGCCAUGCCGCGUGGAUGAUGAAGGUCUUAGGAUUGUAAAAUCCUUUCACCGGUGAAGAUAAUGACUGUAGCCGGAGAAGAAGCCCCGGCUAACUUCGUGCCAGCAGCCGCGGUAAUACGAAGGGGGCUAGCGUUGCUCGGAAUUACUGGGCGUAAAGGGAGCGUAGGCGGACAUUUAAGUCAGGGGUGAAAUCCCGAGGCUCAACCUCGGAACUGCCUUUGAUACUGGGUGUCUUGAGUGUGAGAGAGGUGAGUGGAACUCCGAGUGUAGAGGUGAAAUUCGUAGAUAUUCGGAAGAACACCAGUGGCGAAGGCGACUCACUGGCUCAUUACUGACGCUGAGGCUCGAAAGCGUGGGGAGCAAACAGGAUUAGAAACCCCUGUAGUCC
rnacentral:rRNA from 1 species